rnacentral:lncRNA from 1 species
GUUUUAAUGGAUGGUUAUGYUGUGAAGGAAAUAUCAACCUUUGCUAUUCCCUUUUCUUCACCAGGCUGAAAAGCAGGCAAGAGAACAGCAGGAAAAACAAGCAGACUUGGACUACGAUACUCAGAGAGAAGCUGCUUUUUUUAAGGAGCGAGAAUUUCGAAGAUAAGGACAAAAUACAGCUGACAAGUCCAGAAGCAUCAUUUAAACGUCACCUUACAACCUGUAUGAGCCUGCAAGACAUCAGUGCCUAACAGCUGAAGCCAGC